rnacentral:rRNA from 1 species
UCAUAACGACUCUCGGCAACGGAUAUCUCCGUGCUCGCAUCGAUGAAGAACGUAGCGAAAUGCGAUACUUGGUGUGAAUUGCAGAAUCCCGUGAACCAUCGAGUCUUUGAACGCAAGUUGCGCCCGAAGCCAUUAGGCCGAGGGCACGUCUGCCUGGGCGUCACGCAU